rfam:Gossypium arboreum cultivar AKA8401 contig_28498_1, whole genome shotgun sequence.
AACCCAUGAUGAGGGUAUCUUAUCAAAAGAUCCUUAAAUCUCUCCCAUGUAUCAUAUAGUGUCUCAAGCUCAAUUUGGGCAAACGAAGACAUGUCGUUCCCUAAUUU